UUUUCUAUAUUAUCAUCAUCAUCAUCGUCGUCAUUCCAAACCAAGCGCAAUAAUUCCGAAAUCAAUCUAGAAGAAGAACAUGGACAGAUCUCCGUAUCCCAAACGUCACCAGCGGUCGGCACCGUCCAGCCCGGGAGGGGAGCUCAAUGUGGUCUGUGUCGGUGUUGUCGGUGUGGUAAAAAGUACAAGUGAAAUGUUUUUAAAUCCCUAAAAGCCUCCUGAACCAGCCUGAUCUCCAAAACCUGUUUGUAAAAAUGUGUACGAAAAUCCUGAACAUGCAAAUUCGUAGUGAUACUUAAAAUAAUAAAUACGGACUGCAACCGAUGACGUCACCCUAUUCACAGUGAACGGGGACCUGCGCCCCGUAAACACACUUCGUGAAGUCUAACCAUGUAAAAUAAACGUGUUAUGAUUGCAUUUUUAACAAUAAAUCAAUGUUAAAUUGUAAGAAUAGAAUACUAACCCUAACCCCCUCAAAAAAUCCAACAUGGCAGAGAGACGUUCACUCAAGAAUCCGACAUGGUCCGCCAUGUUGUUCUCUCCGGGGGCGUGGUUAACCACCGCCAGUUCCUAUGUAUUGUUACCAAUUUGUAUGUUCAAGAUUUUCGUAUCCAUUUUUACGAGCAGGUUUUGGGGAUCACGUUGCCUGAACUUAUAUUUGACCUUUUUUUGUAAAGUGUCUGUGAAAACGUGGUGGACAGCGGACGUUCUUGUUCGUUUGUUCUUCGGUUCACGUCCUGAUGUGAAAGCCAUUUUUAAUCCAGCGAGAGCCACCGGCUCCUUUUGCCUAAACUUCAGGCUACUGGCGCCGGUCGAACCUGAAACGGACUCACCUGAAGGACAAUAAGGAAGAGGAGAAGCAAUACAACAUUCGGAUCCCCGCUGGAAAAGACAAAAAAGAUAUCAGUAUAUAGAUAUAUAGAUAUAUUCAUUAAAAGUUCUAUAUGAAAAUUGGGUUGUGUGGAUUAUUAUUGCUCCACAGUGUCGGACCCGCGUGGCCUUUACA
ensembl:lncRNA